UACAGAGGUGGCAAGCGUUGUUCGGAAUUACUGGGCGUAAAGGGCGCGUAGGCGGCCAUCUAAGUCGGACGUGAAAGCCCCAGGCUUAACCUGGGAACGGCGUCCGAUACUGGGCGGCUUGGAUUCGGGAGAGGGAUGAGGAAUUCCAGGUGUAGCGGUGAAAUGCGUAGAUAUCUGAAGGAACACCGGUGGCGAAGGCGGCAUCCUGGACCGAGAUCGACGCUGAGGCGCGAAAGCUAGGGGAGCAAACGGG
rnacentral:rRNA from 1 species